UCGAAGGUCCUUCGUUU
rnacentral:misc_RNA from 1 species